ACACAUUUAGGCGAGGGAUCACUCAUUUUCUGAAACUUUCAAUUUUGGUAACUUUGAAUUAAAAAAUAUCUUAAUAAAACUUAGUAGUUGUAAACAUUAAAAUCAUUUAUGUAUGUGUACAAAAAAAUUAUCGUCGUGUCUAAAUUAUGAAUUAUUUCAAAAUUGAUAAUGUAUUCAAAAAAGUUACAUUAGUUUGGAAUGAACUUCGAGAUUGUCUAUUCAACUGCAGAACCUGUCCUUCCGUGGCCUUUAAAUCAAACCCCAACUGUGGUUGCUAUCAAUGUUGUUCAAACAAAGAAUUAGCACUUAAUAUUUUCUUCUUUUCUGUUGUCAUAGUUGCACCACUCUUAGUGAUUUUGAUUGACAGAAAAUAUCUUCCUGAACCAAAUAAACAGCAAUAAAAUCAUUUAUACUUACUUAUUGACUAUUCUGGCAUAAAAUUCCUUUGACUUUUCAAUGGUUGAGAGAAAUUUAAGAAGUUCCGCAUCUGGAGGUGUUGCCCAUUUGAUGCUUCCUUGCUGUCCAGCACGAACUUCGGCAACUGGUUCUUCUUUGGUGGGCAAUAAUUUUGGAGUUCCACAAGUUUUCUUUACCUAAAAUUAAAGAGUCGGAAAAAAAAGAAGAUAAAUUAAAUUACCUUAAAUUCAAUUAAA